rnacentral:tRNA from 1 species
CCUUCGAUAGCUCAGUUGGUAGAGCGGUGGACUGUAGAAAACAAGCAGACACGAAUCAACAGUUGCAUUCCCAACCACUUGAUCGCUGUGAAGCAAUAGAAAUCCAUAGGUCACUGGUUCAAAUCCGGUUCGAAGGA